rnacentral:rRNA from 1 species
GGCUGAUCGCGCCCAAGAGUUCAUAUCGACGGCGCGGUUUGGCACCUCGAUGUCGGCUCGUCGCAUCCUGGGGCUGGAGAAGGUCCCAAGGGUCCGGCUGUUCGCCGGUUAAAGCGGCACGCGAGCUGGGUUCAGAACGUCGCGAGACAGUUCGGUCCUCUAUCCUCUGUGGGCGUAGGAGAAUUGAGGGGUUCACUUUCUAGUACGAGAGGACCGAAAGUGACGCACCUCUGGUGUACCAGUUGUUCUGUCAAGAGCAUCGCUGGGUAGCUAAGUGCGGAAGAGAUAAGCGCUGAAAGCAUCUAAGCGCCAAGCUCCUCCCAAGAUGAAUUCUCCCUGAGGAUCGUGGUAGACCACCACGUUGAUAGGCUGAUGGUGUAAGUUCAGUAAUGGAUUUAGCUUACCAGUACUAAUCAUCCGAUAGGCUUGAUUCCUCUCUCU